GCCACGAGGCAGCACUCCCGACGUCUCGACGCUCAGUUUAGCGACAACGCCGGUAUGAUUUAAGUCCGACCUCACCGCUCCGAAUCCGAAUCACUUUCGAACCGACUUAGCUCUAUGUUUGUAAACUUUUAAUUUGAUUUAUGUGCUUCGCAUCGAGUAUUUAAACUAUUGUUGUUCUCUUAUUGAAAUUUUAUGUGAGUAAUUGCACAUCUUAAAUUUUUAAUAUAAAAUGUGUGAAAAUAUAAAAAUCACUUUUUUAAAUAAAUACUUUAAAUUCAAUUCUUUUAUUUAAUCCUGCACUAACAAAUCGUUUUAAAACAUCAAUAAAUAUAAAUAAACUAAAACAUAAAUAUAACUAAAAAUUAAUUAAAGCUUAAACAUGGUGAAUUUCGUGUUGUCGUUUUGUAAAAUUACCGGGUCCAGCAAAAUUUUUAAAAGACACUUCUACCUACCGCUUUUGAAACCCCUGACGCCAAAGGAGGCCUUGCGCACCCUCCGCAUUACCGGUAAAUGGCUGUUGGGCGCCAAAAUUCAACAUUACAUCCCCGUACUUUUGAAUCACCGCCAAAAAAGAUCGCAACGGUCCAAGAAUUAUGGGACAAAAAUACACGAGGAAAUGGGGGAUUAUACUUACAUGACACCCGUCAUCGACCCAGACAACGAAAAUCACAAAAUACUGCUUAAAAUAUUAGAAUCGAAAAAUGGCAAAGGCACGUUCGUUUAUACAGUGGAGGACAAAAAAUAUAACAUCGUUUUACAAGCCCAGUUUGAAGCAGCAGUCAGAGACCGUGAUAUAAUCGACAUCAUGGUCUCUCAGAAAAACGACAAGAUUAUUAUAAAGUUAAAGGAUUUCAAGAAAAUCCCCAUGGAAAUUCAAUAUUACGAGGGCAAAGACCAACUCUACUGCGGAGAAGGCGCUACGUCUGCUGAAGAGGAGAAAUUCCACCACCACGGCAAGUAUACAAUGAGUUUGGCCAAGGUGUUCGAAGACAAAGAAAUGAAAGAAGAAGAAUGGGAGCAACAGCUCAAGAAGAUCAUGAAGCGCCGCAGGAAGCACAAGUUGGAAUGCACCAAGGCGUGGAAACAAAUGGUCAAGGAAAACGUGAAGAACUUAGACUGGAACAAAUUCGAAGAAGAAGCCAAGAAGGUAAUCGAAGAAAUAAACGAGCCCGCCUGCGAACAACCAAUCGCCAUGGAAAUUGACGAUUUGGAAACCACGAAGAAUGUGAAUGAAACCAUAUCGCAAAACUGCGAUUUGCUUAACCAACUGCCCACCAUCAAGGAUAUAACAGAUGUUAUCAAAAAUAUGGGCAGUGCUGAUUUGUACGAAAUCGAAACCGACGUGAGGAAGGAUGGCGAAAACACGAACAAAAGAAGGGUGUCCGGCGUAAAAGUAAAACUGACAUCCGGAAAGGAAUGUUUUGUCAGCGGACAAAUGGUCCACACCGAAGAGGGUGACGUAUUUGUGCCGGGGCAAACUGUCGAGAACGAAUUUGGCGACGAGUAUGCUCCUGGAAUAACCAUCAACGUCGACAACAAACCUACUUUAAUCAGCGGGCUUAUUAUGGGCGAGGAAAGACGUGAUCCCAUGUUCUUGCCGACACAGUCCACCAUCACCUCGGAUGGUCAGCUAACAUUUGCUUCAACCGUCGAGGAACGUCCACCGGUUUUACCAGAAGAAAAACGCUUAAAAACAAAAUUAGAAAAAAAGAAGAAGGAAAUUGAGGAGGAAGAGUUAAAAAAGAAACUCGAAGAAGAGGAAGAAGCAUUAGCUUUCUUGGAAAUGUUAAAUGAGAUUGCUGAAAACGUUAGGGAAGAGGAAGAGUUACAGGAAGGUAUCGAAAUUGUGGUCGAUAUUACAAGUGACGAUGAACUAUCCACCGAUUCAGAAGACAAGGCUUCAAGCGUGGAACUGAAUAACUCGGAAAUGGAAGAGCUGGACAUUGAGGCAAUUAAACUGAAACAAGAACAGCAACGCCUAGAAAUCGAAAAGUUGAAGCAGAUCCUCAUGGACGACGGCAUGGACGACGUUAUUUCCAGUUUGGAAGAGAAAAAAGCCAAGUUGAAACAAAAACUUGAAGAGUUACGGAAGCUGAGUCUCAACACCGAAAAUAAUUUGAUCACUUAUGCAUACGACGCUGAUGCAAUCGAAAUAGCGUCGAAAAUAACUGGGGAUAAAGAUGCUAUUAAUAGGAUGUGUGAAAUUUUGUUGACAAUGACUAGGAGGUUAUCGACACUCCGCGAUAAAAAUAGCAUCCGUGCAGACAAUAUUAAUACGAACAUUGUCACGGAAAAUGCAACGGAAAUCGAAAGUAAGUUCAACAAUUGUUCAAAUAAACUAAAAAUAUUAUUUAAAACGGCCGUGGUCGCUGCUAAUGAUGUUUACAAAAACCGACCCAAGGACCAGGUGUUGGCUUUGAAUUCGGUCGGUGAGAUCGUCAUGGAUGCUUUGAAAGCAGAUGAGAAAUUGCUGAGUGAAUUAUUGAAUUUGAUGAACACACCUUUGGAGAGAAUGGAGAUUUGUAACGCUGUUGUCAAACAACUUACACAAGAUGUGUCUUCAAGCAAGGUUUGCUUGUUGAACACCAUUGCCAGCAAAACUUUCGAGCCGGUUAAUUUGGAUAAGUAUUUGACUAAAAUAUUUGAUAAUGACAACAUUGUUUGUAAUUCGUUCCUGAAGAUAUCCAAAUUAGAUACGGAAAUAAUCAAAGUUAUGAUUGACGAGAUAAAUAAAUUCAUCAGAGAUGUUAGAACUGAAGAAGAUGCUGCACGCGUCAUGGAAAAGUGUAUGGUUAAUGCCACAAGAGAAACAAUGGAUGAAAAAGUACAGUCAUUCAUCAGCAACAGUGACGAAGCUAGCUUGUCCAGUUUCAUAGAAGAAGCACUGAGUUUCGCCAAGGCAUUAAACUAUGAGGACAUAAUCGACACUUUAUCCAAACCCAUUGAUUUGGAGACGUGCGAAGGAAACACCCUCGAAAUGCUCAAAAGAACAAUGCUCAUAAGAAUGCUGGCCGAAAAAGACUACUCACUAAAAUCAGCCAUCGGCAGGAUAAAAAAGAACCCGGAAUGCGCCAAGUCCGACCCACGUAUCCGCCAACUGGUACGUGAAAGUGCCUGCUUAAUCUCCAACUCAAUCCCGCUGCGAAACUCCAGAGACAUACCCCUGCAGCUGAUGAAGAACCAAAACCUGUUGGCCAUCGAAGACUUCCUGAUGAAGCGGGUGAAAAUCGAGUACCCCGUAUUGAUUAGCAGGAGCAGCUACCAGGCGGUGAUUCCCAAAGAGGCGGCGAGGGGUGUGCUUGCGGGCAGGGUACCGUACGCUUUGGUCGACGAAAGCGGCGUUACCAAUUUCAAACCGAUGCACAUGAUGUCGGCCAUAAACGUGAACAAGAACCGCGAAAGACGUAUCGAUGAUUAUUUGAGUGUCGGCGCGCGCGAACGGUCGGCCGAAAAGGACGACAGGACCUAUCUGCAGGCCAAGAGCAACGUAAGAAAGCUAAAAAAGAUGUUCAAUAAUAAUAACAGUCAUCGUAGAAACGUUGCAUGAGCUAGUGACUAUGUUUUAAACUGUUAUGUGUUAAUAGGACUGUUGCUUGUAAACUCAUAUUUGUAUAGAGGGACCAAAAUUAAUAAAAGCAUAGUUUCCAAUUACAAAUAUGAUCUUACGACCAAGUGUGUUUCUGUAAAAUGUUACCAGUUAGUAAAUAGUGCAUAUAAAAUUAAAAAUUUUUAACCAAACAAAGUAAAACAUCAAAAUAUACAUUGUAUAAACCAUUAGACUACCAAACGAAACACACCCACACUAUCUAAUAUUUUUGGAAAGCCACGGACAAG